AUCAUUUUUAGAAACUAGAAAUUAAAAGAGAAAUAAUGCAAUUGGUCCCAUAUUUUUUGGACCAAUAAUAAAAGAGAUAUGAAUUUUUGAAAAUGAGAUGGAAUUAAAAAAUAUAUUAAAAAUCAUUUUUAGAAACUAGAAAUUAAAAGAGAAAUAAUGCAAUUGGUCCCAUAUUUUUUGGACCAAUAAUAAAAGAGAUAUGAAUUUUUGAAAAUGAGAUGGAAUUAAAAAAUAAAAAUGGAAAAAUCAGAAAA
rnacentral:lncRNA from 1 species